GACCGCGUAGCUCAGUUGGCAGAGCAUUGGGCUAGUAUUCCAAAGGUCGUAGGUUUGAUUCCCACCGUGGCCG